rnacentral:sRNA from 1 species
GGGUGGCCUCCGCCGAGUCCGGUAUCGCCGUGAGGCGCCCGGAGCCGGGGACCCAACAACGCAAGACCGGGGUGAAUCGGCCGGAAACGGUGCGGCACGGACAGUGCCGCCCGGAGACGGCCGUAGGGCAGCCUUCCGAACCGCCCGAACCCGACAGCUAACCCGGUAGGCGGUCCACGGAAGGAGUC